UACGUAGGGGGCAAGCGUUGUCCGGAAUUAUUGGGCGUAAAAAGCUCGUAGGCGGCUUGUCACGUCGGGUGUGAAAGCCCGGGGCUUAACCCCGGGUCUGCAUUCGAUACGGGCAGGCUAGAGUGUGGUAGGGGAGAUCGGAAUUCCUGGUGUAGCGGUGAAAUGCGCAGAUAUCAGGAGGAACACCGGUGGCGAAGGCGGAUCUCUGGGCCAUUACUGACGCUGAGGAGCGAAAGCGUGGGGAGCGAACAGG
rnacentral:rRNA from 1 species